rnacentral:hammerhead_ribozyme from 1 species
GCACUGCUGAGGAGUCCCACGAUAGGAUGAAACGAUCUUCCAGUGC